GACCUUGAAAUACCACCCUUUAAUGUUUGAUGUUCUAACGUGGACCCGUGAUCCGGGUUGCGGACAGUGUCUGGUGGGUAGUUUGACUGGGGCGGUCUCCUCCUAAAGAGUAACGGAGGAGCACGAAGGUUGGCUAAUCCUGGUCGGACAUCAGGAGGUUAGUGCAAUGGCAUAAGCCAGCUUGACUGCGAGCGUGACGGCGCGAGCAGGUGCGAAAGCAGGUCAUAGUGAUCCGGUGGUUCUGAAUGGAAGGGCCAUCGCUCAACGGAUAAAAGGUACUCCGGGGAUAACAGGCUGAUACCGCCCAAGAGUUCAUAUCGACGGCGGUGUUUGGCACCUCGAUGUCGGCUCAUCACAUCCUGGGGCUGAAGUAGGUCCCAAGGGUAUGGCUGUUCGCCAUUUAAAGUGGUACGCGAGCUGGGUUUAGAACGUCGUGAGACAGUUCGGUCCCUAUCUGCCGUGGGCGCUGGAGAACUGAGGGGGGCUGCUCCUAGUACGAGAGGACCGGAGUGGACGCAUCACUGGUGUUCGGGUUGUCAUGCCAAUGGCACUGCCCGGUAGCUAAAUGCGGAAGAGAUAAGUGCUGAAAGCAUCUAAGCACGAAACUUGCCCCGAGAUGAGUUCUCCCUGACCCUUUAAGGGUCCUGAAGGAACGUUGAAGACGACGACGUUGAUAGGCCGGGUGUGUAAGCGCAGCGAUGCGUUGAGCUAACCGGUACUAAUGAACCGUGAGGCUUAACCUU
rnacentral:rRNA from 2 species